GGCCACAUCCAGUAAUGCAGAAAAGGAAAGAGAAAAAGAGCUUCAAUUGGACGAUGAUCUCCGGACAGUUUAGACAUUAAGGUUUUAUUUAUUUAUUUUUCCUUCUUUUUUUGGUUGGUUUUUUGGAGAGAAUCUAGAAGAAAGCUAGGGUUUAAUGGCGGAGCAGAGGAACAGAUGGAACUGGGAGGUGAGUGGAUUUGAGCCUAGGAAGUCAUCGGCUUCGGUAGAGCCGGAGGAACAUAGAGUGGCUGCGCCGCUUGUGCGAAGGUACUCGAUCUCGGCGGCUUCGGUUUUGUCGGGAGAGAAUUCGGACUUUUCGAAGCAGGCUUUAGCUUCUAAACUCCAGCGUUUGAAGGAUAAAGUUAAGGUUGCAAAAGAAGAUUACUUGGAGUUGAGGCAAGAAGCAAGUGAUCUGCAGGAUUAUUCCAAUGCAAAACUUGAUCGAGUAACACGUUAUUUAGGUGUUCUUGCUGAAAAAACUCGCAAGCUAGAUCAAGUUGCCCUUGAAACUGAGGCUAGAAUAUCUCCAUUGAUCAAUGAGAAGAAAAGGCUGUUUAAUGACUUAUUGACAGCCAAAGGAAGCAUAAUGGUUUUCUGUCGUGCAAGACCAUUAUUCGAAGAUGAAGGUCCUUCCAUUGUUGAAUUUCCUGAUGAUUGCACUAUCCGUGUCAAUACCGGUGAUGAUAGCAUUGCCAACCCCAAAAAGGAUUUUGAAUUUGACAGAAUAUUUGGACCUCAUGUUGGACAAGCUGAACUGUUUAGUGAUGUUCAACCAUUUGUGCAAUCGGCAUUGGAUGGAUACAAUGUUUCAAUAUUUGCUUAUGGACAAACUCGCUCUGGAAAGACACACACUAUGGAAGGAUCCAGCCAUGAUCGUGGUCUAUAUGCUCGUUGUUUUGAGGAGUUGUUUGAUUUAGCUAACUCUGAUUCAACUUCUACUUCUCAAUUCAAUUUCUCUGUUACUUGUUUUCAGCUGUACAAUGAACAGAUUAGUGAUUUACUGUCAGAAUCAGAAAGCAGUCUGCAAAAGAUCUGCAUGGGAUCAGCAGAAUCUUUUAUAGAGCUUGUGCAAGAAAAAGUUGAUAACCCUUUAGACUUUUCUAGAGUCUUGAAAGCUGCAUUUCAGAGCCGGGGAAAUGACACAUCAAAGUUCAAUGUUUCUCAUUUGAUCAUAACAAUACACAUAUAUUAUCACAAUUUGAUAAGUGGAGAGAACUUGUACAGCAAGCUUUCUCUUGUUGAUCUGGCUGGAAGUGAUGGUUUAAUUACAGAAGACGAUAGUGGGGAGCGUGUGACAGAUUUGCUGCAUGUGAUGAAAUCACUUUCAGCGUUGGGAGAUGUUUUGUCUUCUUUGACUUCAAGGAAGGAUGUUAUUCCUUAUGAAAAUUCAAUGCUCACAACAUUACUUGCAGACUCCCUAGGUGGAAGCUCAAAGACUUUGAUGAUACUCAAUGUGUCUCCAAAUGCUGCAAAUUUGUCUGAGACACUAUCGUCCCUCAAUUUCUGUGCUAGAGCUCGGAAUGCUACGCUAAGCCUUGGAAAUCGUGAUACAAUUAAGAAAUGGAGAGAUGUGGCAAAUGAUGCACGGAAGGAGUUAUAUGAGAAGGAAAAGGAAAUCCAGGAUCUGAAACAAGAGGUUUUGGGACUAAAGCAAGCACUUCAAGAAGCAAAUGAUCAGUGCGUUCUACUAUACAAUGAAGUUCAGAAGGCGUGGAAAGUUUCAUUCACGUUGCAAUCAGAUUUAAAGUCUGAGAAUAUCAUGCUUUUGGACAAGCAUAAGAUAGAAAAAGAACAAAACGCUCAGCUCAGAAAUCAGGUAGCUCAACUGUUACAGAUGGAACAGGAGCAGAAAUUGCAGAUGCAGCAACGAGAUUCCACAAUUGAGACAUUGCAGGCUAAAAUUAAAAGCAUGGAGUCGCAACUCAACAAAGCACUUCAUUCUACUGAAGCUAGUUCAAAGUAUGGCUCAGAGGCUGGGCCUGGAGUUUCAUCAAUUCCCAAAGCAACUGCGGAUGGCAUGGAUUCUUCAUCAGUAACCAAGAAACUUGAAGAAGAACUGAAGAAACGUGAUGCACUUAUUGAGAGAUUGCAUGAAGAAAAUGAGAAAUUGUUUGAUAGAUUAACAGAGAAAGCAUCUUUAGCUGGAUCUCCUCAGGUGUCAAGUCCAUUAUCCAAAGGAACAACAAAUUCUCAGUCUCGGGACAUGGGAAGCAGGAAUGAUAAUAACAAUAAGGGGCGUUCAAUGGAUGUUGUUCCUUCAGAACUGGUAGCAGAUAAAAGUGAUGGCACAGUUGCUUUGGUUAAAUCAGGUUCUGAUAAAGUUAAAUCCACUCCGGCAGGAGAAUAUCUUACGGCUGCUCUAAAUGACUUUGAUCCUGAACAAUAUGACAGCCUUGCAGCCAUUUCAGAUGGAGCAAACAAGCUUUUGAUGCUGGUUCUGGCAGCAGUCAUUAAAGCAGGUGCUUCUAGAGAGCAUGAAAUACUUGCUGAAAUUAGAGCUGCUGUAUUCUCUUUUAUCCGUAAAAUGGAACCCAAAAGGGUUAUGGAUACCAUGCUUGUUUCCCGGGUCAGAAUUUUGUAUAUACGAUCCUUACUUGCUAGGUCCCCAGAAUUGCAGUCCAUCAAGGUUUCUCCUGUUGAGUGCUUUUUAGAAAAGGCCAAUACUGGACGAAGUAGAAGUUCCAGCCGAGGUAACAGUCCUGGAAGAUCCCCUGUGCGUUAUGCGGAUGAACAGAUCCAGGGGUUUAAAGUGAAUAUAAAGCCAGAAAAGAAGUCUAAGUUAUCAUCAGUUGUUUUGAGAAUGCGAGGAAUUGAUCAGGAUACAUGGAGGCAACAGGUUACUGGUGGAAAACUAAGGGAAAUUCAAGAGGAGGCAAAAAGUUUUGCAAUAGGAAAUAGGGCUCUUGCUGCUCUUUUUGUUCAUACUCCAGCUGGUGAGCUGCAGCGGCAAAUUAGAUCCUGGCUAGCAGAAAGUUUUGAAUUUCUUUCUGUUACAGGAGAUGAUGCAUCAGGGGGGAGCACUGGCCAGUUAGAACUUCUUUCAACUGCAAUUAUGGAUGGCUGGAUGGCUGGACUGGGUGCUGCACUGCCCCCUAACACAGAUGCCCUUGGGCAACUUCUGUCUGAAUAUGCAAAGCGGGUCUAUAGUUCCCAAUUGCAACACUUAAAGGACAUCGCUGGCACCUUAUCAACUGAGGAAGCAGAAGAUGCUACACAAGUGGGCAAACUUCGUUCAGCUCUUGAGUCUGUUGAUCACAAAAGAAGAAAGAUUUUGCAGCAAAUGAGAAGUGAUGUAGCCUUGUUAACAUUGGAGGAUGGUGGGUCACCUAUUCAUAAUCCUUCUACUGCUGCUGAGGAUGCACGAUUAGCAUCUCUCAUUUCUCUUGAUGGCAUAUUGAAGCAAGUCAAGGAUAUAGUGAGACAAUCCUCUGUAAAUACCUUGAGUAAAACUAAAAAGAAAGCAAUGCUUAGUUCUUUAGAUGAACUUGCAGAAAGGAUGCCUUCCCUUCUUGAAAUUGAUCAUCCAUGUGCACAGAGGCAAAUUGUAGAUGCUCGUCGUGUGGUUGAGUCGAUUCCUGAAGAAGAUGACCAGCUUCAUGAAUUGGUACAUUAUAGAAAAUCUCCUGCAGAUUUGGGGUCUAGUACUGAUGUGGCACAGUGGAAUGUUUUGCAAUUCAACACAGGCUCCACAACACCGUUUAUCAUCAAGUGUGGAGCAAACUCAAAUUCUGAAUUGGUCAUCAAAGCCGAUGCCCAUGUUCAGGAACCUAAAGGUGGUGAAAUUGUAAGAGUUGUUCCAAGACCGUCUGUGUUGGAAAAUAAGAGCUUGGAGGAAAUGAAACAGGUAUUCUUCCAACUUCCUGAGGCUCUAAGCUUGCUAGCCUUAGCAAGGACUGAAGAUGGUACCCGAGCUCGGUAUUCUAGACUGUAUAGAACUUUGGCCAUGAAAGUUCCGUCAUUGAGAGACCUAGUCGGUGAGCUUGAGAAGGGGGGAGUACUAAAAGAUGUGAGAUCAUGAAUGCAUAGUGUAUUGAGAGGUCAUUGUAUGCGUUCUAGUUCUACUGUGGUUUAUUGUGCUUGGCUGUAUUAAUGAUUUUGUUUCUUUUUUGGUGGGAAGGGGGUGGGAGAAAGAAGGGUUGUGUGUUGAAAGCAAUUGGUUUGUAGUUAAUUAUGGGAGAAGGAAAUCUUUGUAUUUGAUACUUUGUAGUGCAUAAACAGUAUAUUGUAUCACACGUAUGCUCUGAAAUUGUUGUUGAUAGCAAUUUUGUGUUAUUUAAUUUAUUGCCGCCUUUGGUAAUGCAUCA
rnacentral:misc_RNA from 1 species